rnacentral:rRNA from 1 species
UCAGUAACACGUAGUCAACAUGCCCAGGGGACGUGGAUAACCUCGGGAAACUGAGGAUAAACCGCGAUAGGUCACUACUUCUGGAAUGGGUAAUGACCCAAACCUAUAUGGCCCCUGGAUUGGACUGCGGCCGAUCAGGCUGUUGGUGAGGUAAUGGCCCACCAAACCUGUAACCGGUACGGGCUCUGAGAGGAGGAGCCCGGAGAUGGGCACUGAGACAAGGGCCCAGGCCCUAUGGGGCGCAGCAGGCGCGAAACCUCUGCAAUAGGCGAAAGCUUGACAGGGUUACUCUGAGUGAUUUCCGUUAAGGAGAUCUUUUGGCACCUCUAACAAUGGUGCAGAAUAAGGGGUGGGCAAGUCUGGUGCCAGC